UUUCUAGCUUGCUAGAAGAUGACGAGUGGCGGACGGGUGAGUAAUACUUAGGAAUAUGCCUUUGUGUGGGGGAUAACUAUUGGAAACGAUAGCUAAUACCGCAUAACGUCUUCGGACCAAAGGGGGCUUCGGCUCCCGCGCAAAGAGUAGCCUAAGCGAGAUUAGCUUGUUGGUGAGGUAAAGGCUCACCAAGGCGACGAUCUCUAGCUGUUCUGAGAGGAAGAUCAGCCACACUGGAACUGAGACACGGUCCAGACUCCUACGGGAGGCAGCAGUGGGGAAUAUUGCACAAUGGGGGAAACCCUGAUGCAGCCAUGCCGCGUGUGUGAAGAAGGCCUUCGGGUUGUAAAGCACUUUCAGUUGUGAGGAAAGGUUAGUGGUUAAUACCCAUUAGCUGUGACGUUAGCAACAGAAGAAGGACCGGCUAACUCCGUGCCAGCAGCCGCGGUAAUACGGAGGGUCCGAGCGUUAAUCGGAAUUACUGGGCGUAAAGCGCACGCAGGCGGUUUGUUAAGCUAGAUGUGAAAGCCCUGGGCUCAACCUGGGAAUUGCAUUUAGAACUGGCAGGCUAGAGUUUUGGAGAGGGGAGUGGAAUUCCAGGUGUA
rnacentral:rRNA from 1 species